rnacentral:lncRNA from 1 species
UGGCUUCUCCUUGGGAGGGAUCAGCGAGCCAUAAUGAGCAACCCACCAUGCCUCGUUCUCGGCAGGAUGCACCGAGUGAGGCACGAACUCCGUUUUCGGAACGACGAGCUCUUCGUAAGGACUCGCGGACGAAGACCCUUUUUUCGCAAUCUUCUUCUUGCUCGACAUCUUUACACUUCUCUUAAGAGAAUAGAGGAAAAGGGUGGAGAGAAAGAUAGAAAGUUUUUGAAAGAUCUUAGAGAAAAAACAAGAAAGUGAAAAAAUUAUGGAACAAGUUACCUCUCUUCUUAUAAGACAUGAGGAUUUACUAUUCAAGCUCGGACUUUCGCAUAUUAAUUCCAUCCAUCACGCCUAACUUGCCAAACAUGUCUAACCGCACGCUAGGAUCCCCCAUGCAUGAUCCUAACGGGCUGGGGGGCUAACUGUUGGGGUCAAAAAUGGUUACGACGGAAUUACCAUCCGAAAAUCCUCAGAGAUCGUAUUUCCGAAAGGGUUAAAGAAGGGAUGUAAUUUUUCGUCGAAAUAAACUAUACGAGGUUAUUUCUACGAAGAAGUAUUCUUUGGGAUUCAAACCAAACGAUCGUCCCGCUCGGUCG